rnacentral:rRNA from 1 species
AACGAACGCUGGCGGCAUGCCUAACACAUGCAAGUCGAACGAAACCUUCGUGCCUACUGGCUCACGGGUGCGUAACGCGUGGGAACCUGCCCUUAGGUUCGGAAUAACUCCCCGAAAGGGGUGCUAAUACCGGAUAAUGUCUUCGGACCAAAGAUUUAUCGCCUUUGGAUGGGCCCGCGUUGGAUUAGCUAGUUGGUAGGGUAAAAGCCUACCAAGGCGACGAUCCAUAGCUGGUUGGAGAGGAGGAUCAGCCACACUGGGACUGAGACAAGGCCCAGACUCCUACGGGAGGCAGCAGUGGGGAAUAUUGGACAAUGGGCGUGAGGCUGAUCCAGCGAUGCCGCGUGAGUGAUGAAGGCCUUAGGGUCGUAAAGCUCUUUUACCCGGGAUGAUAAUGACAGUACCGGGAGAAUAAGCUCCGGCUAACUCCGUG